GGAAUGGUCUGGCUAGCGAGACUAAUCAGACUCAGCAUCACUAGAAGUAGAAGUAUCACAAGGAACAUCAUAUCAUUAGUCUCUAACUCUGUGAAAUCAACUGACACUAGAUCUGGCUCAUGUAUAGAAAUUUCAGGAGGCAACAAAGAAAGGAGAGAUGCUUGACGCUUGGUUGCCAUUGCAA